CUGAGGUCCGGCACCGCCCCACUCGGGUUUCUCUGAGCUCCCGAUUUAUUUAAGAGCCUCAGAUCCUCAGCAUUGGUUUGGCUCAAGACCCCCCAGCAGGACAGUAACCAGACAGUGUAGCCAGUCUCCACGCCGCUCUCAGCUUUGCUUCUUGUGAUGAUGGUCUCAAAAAGAAAGGUCCCCCUCAUGGAGUACAGCUGCUGGCCCCACACUGCCACUCUAGACCCAGAGGGUCUGUCCUCAUGGGGCAGAAGUGAGAAGGUGAGAAGGUCAGGUUCCUCACCUGAUGAAAGGUCUGGAGAUGGCCAGCACGGUCCGGAUGAACCAGGUGGGGUG